rnacentral:rRNA from 1 species
UACGGAGGGGGCUAGCGUUGUUCGGAAUUACUGGGCGUAAAGCGCACGUAGGCGGAUCAGCAAGUUAGGGGUGAAAUCCCGGGGCUCAACCCCGGAACUGCCCUUAAAACUGUUGGUCUUGAGUUCGAGAGAGGUGAGUGGAAUUCCGAGUGUAGAGGUGAAAUUCGUAGAUAUUCGGAGGAACACCAGUGGCGAAGGCGGCUCACUGGCUCGAUACUGACGCUGAGGUGCGAAAGCGUGGGGAGCAAAC